UAGGCAGGAUGCUCUGGUGAGAUCCACA
rnacentral:piRNA from 1 species